AGGAAACACCACUCUGACUCACUUCGUGAUUACUUCUCCCCAUUUUAGGGGUAUAACAUUUGAAGGCACCGCUGGGAUAGCUCUUCAGAUGCCCAGUGUCCACAACAUGGCGGCUGAGUUCUGAGGCAGCGAUUCCCCUACAAAACAACCCAGGCAGGCAGGCUACAACGGAGAGGAUGCGGCAGUGAGGAGGGCUGAAAGCUGGUAUUUGAGCACACGCUACCUGAGGCCAAAGAGUGAUCAUCAGGGGUAGGCUAGUUAUCAAGCCAAUCAUGGCCAAGAUCUCUCCAGUCCUACUAACAAUGGCCACCUUAAAAUAAUUACAAGAGGAAGUAGUAGGGGGGGCUACAUACUUUAAAUAGAGACCAUUUGCUGGACAUUUGUGAUUUUCUUAAAAUAUCAGGCGAAGAAAAGCAGACGUGAAGGAAGAAAAAUGAUCUGCCAGUGCAGCAAGAUAAUCACACUUGUUAAUAUUUCUUGAAACAAGAAAAAGAAAUCCAGAAAAUAAGACCGCUCAAAAUCUCAAUAUAGGCCUGGACUACUUGUUUUGAGCAUUCUUGUUAAGAUUUUUGGACAAAUUUGAAUAAGAUAUUUAUUAUUUUUUUCAGUAAAUAAAGGCUUGGAUACAAACCAGGUUAAGGCAAAUUUGCUCAAAAUAAGUCGAGAGAGGAUGAAAACAAGAUGAAGAUUCUUGUUUUAAGUACAUUGAGAAUCUCAUAUUAGUAGAUAAUUCUUAUAUAAGGAAGACUUGUUGAGAGAAAUUAUCCUGUUCCUGUCCCCACCAACUGACAAAAGCAGCUCAGACUUGCAGGGCGCAAAUCUGCUUGCGACACCCGCAAAUCUAAACCUGCCGGCAUUUCUGAAAAUUAACCUACCCCUUUCUCCACCCCAUGUGGAAACUACGACACCUCCGAAAUCGUGGCAGGAUCCUCCGCCUUCUGGCUAAGCUCGAGCUGGGUCGACUUCAGAAACUACAGGGCCUUUGACAUGCCCCGGCCCUCCGUUCACCGGGUAGUGCACAGGGUGAGUGCGAAGAUCGCUGCGCUCCUGUACACAGUGGUCCGACAUCCUACAGCAGAGGAACUCCCACGCCUGGGUAUCCGCUUCGCCCGUCUUGCUGGAACAGCAGCCUUCAGCAGAGUGGUGGGGGCUAUUGAUGGCUGCCACGUCAGGGUGAAGCCCCCAGCAGAGGAUGCUGCCUGUUAUUUUAACAGGAAGCUGUUCCACUCCAUCCAGCUGCAGGCCAUCUGUGAUGACCAAUGCAAAUUCCUGGAUGUGUUUGUGGGGUACACAGGGUCAGUGCAUGAUGCCAGGGUCCUGAGGAACAGCCCCAUCUAUUACGAGCAGUCCUACCCUCCACCAGGCUACUGUAUCCUUGGGGAUGGUGGCUACCCCUGCCUGUCCCAAUCUGCCUUAUGACCCCUUUCAGGCAGCCUGUCCGCAACCACCUCCAAGCUCGCAACAACUGCUGCCUGUCAAAGGCGAGGUGCGUUGUGGAGAGGUCCUUCGGGAUCCCGAAGACGCGAUGGCAGGGUUUUUCCUGCAUAGAGAAAAUUUGGGCGCGCGCCUAAGCCGUUUUCCUGAGCGCCUACAACAAAUCCCGAGCGCCUAAGGCAAAAAAAAAAGUGCGAUAAAAAAUAAAUAAAAAAAAGCUGUCAUUCAUGGCGCAAUUCAGCUUAAUGGUGUUUUGAGCCCUCACCGUCGACUUCAAGGCAGCAGCUUGUCCCACCUCCCACCCCAAUCAUUGAAAAGAGGCUGCUCCAAGCUUGCCAGUUUAGAGAAUACUUGGUUUGAAUUUGAGAUUUGAGCAAGCAACUUAAUGUAGCUAGCUUUUAGCUGUUUUAAACCAAGGCACUUCAAAAAUGUUGUUUACAACCUGCUU
ensembl:lncRNA